rnacentral:rRNA from 1 species
CCAAUAGCGUAUAUUAAAGUUGUUGCAGUUAAAAAGCUCGUAGUUGAAUUUCGGGAUCAAUACGUCGGUCGUGCUUCGGUACGUACUGGCGUCAUUGAUUUCUCCCUUCUGACGAACCAUGAUGUCAUUAACUUGGUGUCAUGGGAAAUCAGGACUGUUACUUUGAAAAAAUUAGAGUGUUUAAAGCAGGCUCACGCUUGAAUACAUUAGCAUGGAAUAAUGAAAUAGGACGUUCGAUCCUAUUUUGUUGGUUUUAGGAUCAACGUAAUGAUUAAUAGGGAUAGUUGGGGGCAUUAGUAUUCAAUUGUCAGAGGUGAAAUUCUUGGAUUUAUUGAAGACUAACUACUGCGAAAGCAUUUGCCAAGGAUGUUUUCAUUAAUCAAGAACGAAAGUUAGGGGAUCGAAGACGAUCAGAUACCGUCGUAGUCUUAACCAUAAACUAUGCCGACUAGGGAUCGGAUGAUGUUAAUUUUUUAAUGACUCAUUCGGCGCCUUACG